rnacentral:misc_RNA from 1 species
CUGUGUUUUUGUCUCACCUUUAAAACUAUUAAGUUUUAAAGGUUCUUCUAUCCUGAAAAUCGUUGUGGAAAGGUGAGACAUUAUAUAAGGAAAAAAAAAAAAAAAAAAAAAAAUUUUAAAAUUUUUUUUCNNNNNNNNNNNNUGUGUUUUUGGCUUAUAUUAAUUCUGGCUGGAGUUUCAUCUUAGAAUAACUGAUCCCUGCAAUCCACCACACAUUUUUUCUUUUUAUGGUUUGUUGCUGAAGAUAUCUUACCUGUUUAUGAAUUUUGUGUGAGAGCAAUUUCUUUGACACAAUUAGAUACAUAAAUAGCCUAUGGGAUUAAUUGUGGCUGGCCACAUAAUAUAUAGCUUACUCUUUUUCUGGUUUCCGUGGGUUCUUUCAUAUUAUAGUGGAUAUGCUGUGUAUGCAUUAUAUAAAUGUAAAAAGAAAAAAAGCUUUCUCUGUUUUCCAUUCAAGUGAUGCUGGAAUAAGCUUUCCUUGCAGGUUAUUGGAAUUGAUCUACU